GUCCAGCUCUGUGACACUGAAGGUCACCAGUUCCCUUGCUGGCUUCGACUGAAUGAUUCCCCUGUGAAGUCCCUUGUUUACUGUAUUUGUAAUUAGCCACCAAGAACUUGAGUAACCGGUUUCCGAGGAGAACAUAUAUCCUGAAUCAGUUCCUGGACAUUUGUUUGAGGUCUUGUAAGGGAAACUGAAGGGAAUUGUGUAUUGAACAGGAUGGCUUAGACCUGCUCAACUUCUGAGAAUUGAGGCAAAGUGGGCAAUCCAGAUGUAUCACUUGACUUUCUGACUACUGGAAGAAUUUCCCUUCAUUAUUGCACACCAGGGGUAUCCCACAGGCCAUCCUCGAUAAUGGCUUGGUUUCAUCAUUAAAAUUGUUCUCUUUGAGUCAAGAUAAUAUAGUUCCCAAGAGCUAUGUCAUACCAUCAGAAAAAAGAUAAACUUGGGCCAAACAUGAUGAGUUUCUCCUCAUGAAGCUUUCUCCUCACCAACUCUUCAAAGAUCCAGUUGAUACAAAAUGCACAUGCUAAAAUAUGAUUCCCCAGUCCUGUCCAAGCUGAUGUGGUCUUCUCCAAGCCCCCAGUCCUGACCAAGCUGAAUCUCCUUUGUCACUCAUGGGGCAACAGGGACUUACCUGCCAGUGCAGGAGAAAGGAGAGAUCCUUUAGAACAGGAGCUAAGAUGCCAGGAGCUCACGCAAAAUGCUUGAAGAAAGGGGCUUAGCCAGAAACCGAACUGGGAGUUGAUGCCCAGUUUAGGAAGAGUUCAAAUCGAGGAGUCAGAAGCAGCAAAUUCUACAUCAGAUCCACAAAUUCUUAACUAGAAGAAUAAAAACAAGUCAAAUCAAGUUGGGCUCAAAAGGAAUAUAGGGGCAGAAGAGGUGAUGUGCAGAUGGGUGUGCCUGGCCAAAUGGUGGGGGUAGGCACAGGCAGCACACACCAUUGAUUUCUUUGCUUCCUUUUUUAAAGAUUUUAUUUUUAAGAGCAGUUUCAGGUUCAAAGCAAAGUUAGAAGUACCAAGAUUUUUUCCAUAUACCCCUGUCCCUACAUAUGCAUAGCCCCCUCAUUAUCAAAAUCCCCUAUCAGAGUGUAAUAAAUGACAAUGAACCUACGUUGGACGCAUCAUAAUCACGUAAAGUCCUGGUGUACAUUAGCUUUCACUCUUGGUGUUGUACAUUCUAUGAAUUCGGACAAAUGUGUAAUGGCAUGUGUCCACUGUUAUGGUAUCAUACAGAGCACUUUCACUGCCACAAAAAUUUUCUGCUCUCUGCCUAUAGUUGGGGAUCAGAAACCAAUACCCCAAAAUAUGGCAUUUUGACAUGCUGAACUGAAGAAGCUUUAAUGUCUCUCUGACCUUCCUUCUUCUGCCCCACCUUCUUUCCCAAAACCUAGGAUUAUCUUGUUCCCUUAUCUGCUUAAAGUCCGAACCUGCCAAAGAAGAAAACAAUGACCUCUGCACCCUUCCCUGAGUUUCCAUUAACUGAACCUAGAUUCCAGGAAGAAAGAUUGAAGUCUGUCAACACACCUGGACAGACUUUUAUCACAAACCAUUGUCCACUCUGCUAACCCAACAGAUUUUGUCCCAGACAACUGUAUUCUCUUCAAGCCCAUUGAAUUCUCCCUAGGAAUCAUGCAUUGCCCCUCAACAGAAUUCCUCUUGUCCCUACUCACAUAGUUUGCUUUGCCGGGAUCCUAAGAUUUCUUGGAAAACCUUAGGACCAGGAGGUAUUCUUGUGGACUCAUUCUGUUUUUCUGUAACCUCAAGAUGGUGUAUAAGCUUCUGCCCCCUAAUCGGGGGUUGGAGUAAUCACUGUGUCUCCUGUGUGAAAGUAAACACAUUUGUAUGCCCUUUUCCCAAUUAAUCUACCUUCUGUGAGUUGAUUUUUUAGCGAAACUUCAGAGGGCUCUUUGACUCCUACACUAUUUAUCCCUCCCCCUCCCUUCAGCCCCUAACAACCACUGAUCUUCUUACUGCCUCCACAGUUUUACCUUUUCCAGAAGGUCAUAUAGUUGAAAUAUUACAGUCCGUUACCUUUUCAGAUUAGCUUCUGUCACUUAGUAAUAUAUAUUUAAGAUUCCUCCAUGUCUUUUCAUGGCUUGAUAGUUCAUUUCUUUUCAGUAUUAAAUGAUAUUCCAUUGUUUGAUGUACCACAAUUUAUCCCUUACCUACUGAAGGAAUACCUGGUUGUUUCCAAGAUUUACCUGGCCACCUAUGGAAUACUGUAGUUUCCAAAACUGGCCAUAAGAUAUUUCCUACUAUUCUUGCAUAUUGCAGUUGCAUAAGAAUUGCGUCCUAAGAUUUUCCAGAAAUUUGGCACUUCUCCAUCAAGACAUGGAUUCUACUUCCUCUUCCCUUAAGUCUAGGCAGAUUUGUGACUGGUAACCACAGAGCAUGGUAGAAAUUACACGGAGUGAUUUCUGAGGUUAUAAAUGAUGAAGCUCAUCUACCUCACAGGAACAUAGGCAUUGAGUCCUGAGCCACCAAGCAAGUGUCCAACUACUCUGAAACUGCCAUGUGGUGAGGAAGCCCAAACUUGAUGUGAUUUCACCUCUUCUGCCCCUAUUCCUUUUGUGCCCAACUUGAUUUGACUUGCUUUUAUUUUUCUAGUUAAGUGAAAAGAUAGCAAGGGGAAGCACUGAAGCUGCAUCGUGAGCGAGAGAUGCCCAGCCACCAGGCAGCUGCUCCACCCACCUCACCCUCAGCCUACUUUCCUCCACCCUCAACCUUGUACUUUUGUUGCUCCAACCACUGUCUGGUUACAAUCAGAGGAGAGAUUCCAAGACAGUAGCACCCAGCUAAACCCUUCCUGAAUUCGCAACUCACAAAAGUUAUAAAAGACAAUAAAAUGACUGUUCUUUAAGUUAUAUGUUUUGAAGUGAAUUAUUAUUCAGCAACAAAUAACCCAUAACAUCAUCCUUUUUUCCUCACCUCCACUUCCCAGUUUUGCCUCCAGUCUGAGUACUUAAAGUUAGGCCUACAAAUCCAGUCCUUUCCCUUCAAAGGAAACUUAUUAUAAACUGAGGCAUCCAGAAAAAGGCUGUCAUGAGGUUUUAAUGUCAUUCUCUGCUCUCUUCAUU
rnacentral:lncRNA from 1 species